rnacentral:rRNA from 1 species
AACGCGAAGAACCUUACCUGGGCUCGAAAUGUAGUGGAAUAGGGUGGAAACAUCCUAGUCUCGCAAGAGACUGCUAUAUAGGUGCUGCAUGGCUGUCGUCAGCUCGUGUCGUGAGAUGUUGGGUUAAGUCCCGCAACGAGCGCAACCCUUAUUGCCAGUUGCCACCGGGUUAUGCCGAGCACUCUGGCGAAACCGCACAGGAUAACUGUGAGGAAGGUGGGGAUGACGUCAAGUCCUCAUGGCCUUUAUGUCCAGGGCUACACACGUGCUACAAUGGUCGGUACAAACCGUCGCAAAGCUGCAAAGUGGAGCUAAUCGGAAAAAGCCGGCCUCAGUUCGGAUUGGAGUCUGCAACUCGACUCCAUGAAGCUGGAAUCGCUAGUAAUCGCAGAUCAGAACGCUGCGGUGAAUACGUUCCCGGGCCUUGUACACACCGCGCAUA